UUUGGUUUCGACGGGGAUGCGGAAUCAGGAGUAGCGAGUCGUUGAUGCCAAACAACGUUAAAAGUGGCAACAUAAAAUAAACGCAAACGAUAAUUACGCAUUAGCUGCUUAGUAAAGUAGCUCGUUCUACCUAAGAAUCCCACGCCUUGGGAUAGAACGUCAAUAUAGUGGGGAACCGAGCCUUACAAAGCUUUGAGUAGGGAACGGAAAUUAUGAAGCUACUGAAACUUGAACCUUGUCAGUAAGGGUCAAGUAGAGGGAAUGUUAAACUACUGAAUGCACUCGGAGAAGCUCUUGUGGAAGUGUUUUCGGACGUGGGUUCGAUUCA
rnacentral:tmRNA from 1 species